GACGAACGCUGGCGGCGUGCUUAACACAUGCAAGUCGAACGGAAAGGCCCUGAUAUUGUGGGGUGCUGGAGUGGCGAACGGGUGCGUAUCACGUGUGUAACCUGCCCUAGACUUUGGGAUAACUUCAGGAAGCUGAGGCUAAUACAGGACAGGAGAUCACGUAGCAUGGUGGGGGUUGGAACGUUUCGGCGGUUGGGGCUGGACUAGCGGCUUAUCAGCUUGUUGGUGGGGGAGUGGCUUACCGAGUAUUUGACGGAUAGCUGGCCUGGGAGGGUGACCGGCCACAUUAGGACUGAGGUACGGCCCAGACUCCAACGGUAGGCAGCGGUGGGGAGUAUUGCACAAUGAGCGGGAGCCUGAUACGACAACGCCGCGUUCGGGAAGACGGCCUGCGGGUUGUGAACCGCAUUCGCCUGAGACGAAGCGUUAGUGACGGUAAUGGGUGAAGAAGCACCGGCUAACUACGUG
rnacentral:rRNA from 1 species